GGCCUUGAAAUACCACCCUUUAAUGUUUGAUGUUCUAACGUGGACCCGUGAUCCGGGUUGCGGACAGUGUCUGGUGGGUAGUUUGACUGGGGCGGUCUCCUCCUAAAGAGUAACGGAGGAGCACGAAGGUUGGCUAAUCCUGGUCGGACAUCAGGAGGUUAGUGCAAUGGCAUAAGCCAGCUUGACUGCGAGCGUGACGGCGCGAGCAGGUGCGAAAGCAGGUCAUAGUGAUCCGGUGGUUCUGAAUGGAAGGGCCAUCGCUCAACGGAUAAAAGGUACUCCGGGGAUAACAGGCUGAUACCGCCCAAGAGUUCAUAUCGACGGCGGUGUUUGGCACCUCGAUGUCGGCUCAUCACAUCCUGGGGCUGAAGUAGGUCCCAAGGGUAUGGCUGUUCGCCAUUUAAAGUGGUACGCGAGCUGGGUUUAGAACGUCGUGAGACAGUUCGGUCCCUAUCUGCCGUGGGCGCUGGAGAACUGAGGGGGGCUGCUCCUAGUACGAGAGGACCGGAGUGGACGCAUCACUGGUGUUCGGGUUGUCAUGCCAAUGGCACUGCCCGGUAGCUAAAUGCGGAAGAGAUAAGUGCUGAAAGCAUCUAAGCACGAAACUUGCCCCGA
rnacentral:rRNA from 1 species